rnacentral:lncRNA from 1 species
UUUCAAUAAUUUAUUUUUAAAAGUUAUUUUAUUCCUAAACAGUAGAGUUCACAUCUUUUUCUGCUAAGUUCUUCCACAAGCUGGCAAAGGAUCCAAGAUGUAGCCUGGCAUUUAUCUUUGUUCUCUUUGCCACUCUCAUGGAAAUAUGGUGAAUGCAGUCCGUUCUUAACGGUCGUAUUUAGCCUCGGUUCUGUGAAUUCGAUUUUCUUUUCCUUUUUAAAGGCGAUAGAGUGGGAUCCAAUAGACGUUGGAGCUGACUCUGAGCUUUUUUGACUUGUACGUGUCACAUCUGAAGGCAAGUUCCCUCGUGCUGGAUGAAAGCUAAAAGGCUGGGUGCCCGGUUUACCAUCAGCUCAGGGCAGAAUAAUGAUGCGAGGCCUGACAUUUAAUACACCAGUGAUCCCAGAUAUUGCUGCUGAAAGCUUUCUCCACAAAGCAGGAACCAGAAGAACCUUACGGCAGUGUCUGACUUUAAUUCACAAGUGAGGGAGCCGUGAGGUGAGGGUCAACUAUCACGUGUCUCUUCAACACAAGGGAAAGAACUGCCCAGCAAAGAGAACCCUAUGUAUGUCAUAAAUAUGAGCUCACAGAGUGCGUGGACCCUUUCAACGCAAUGUCAGAGGCUGCCUCUGCAGAAUUGUUUUAGAUAGGUUUUUAACCCUGUGGGACCCUGCCUCAUGGGAACAGUGUCUAUGCUGCAGUCUCUAAGCAAAGAAUAGACUGGGAUGCCUUUUGUUUCAUCUUCUCAGAAAGAACUUUUCACGGAGCAUGGUGGUGCACGCCUGUAAUCCCAGCUACCCAGGAGUCUGAGGCAGGAGGAUUGCGUGAGUCCAGGGGUUCAAGGACAGCCUGGGCAACAUAGUGAGACCCCUGUCUCAAAAG